AUUGAACGCUGGCGGCAGGCUUAACACAUGCAAGUCGAACGAGAGAUGAGGAGCUUGCUCUUCAAAUCGAGUGGCGAACGGGUGAGUAACGCGUGAGGAACCUGCCUCAAAGAGGGGGACAACAGUUGGAAACGACUGCUAAUACCGCAUAAGCCCACGGCUCGGCAUCGAGCAGAGGGAAAAGGAGCAAUCCGCUUUGAGAUGGCCUCGCGUCCGAUUAGCUAGUUGGUGAGGUAACGGCCCACCAAGGCGACGAUCGGUAGCCGGACUGAGAGGUUGAACGGCCACAUUGGGACUGAGACACGGCCCAGACUCCUACGGGAGGCAGCAGUGGGGAAUAUUGCACAAUGGGGGAAACCCUGAUGCAGCGACGCCGCGUGGAGGAAGAAGGUCUUCGGAUUGUAAACUCCUGUUGUUGAGGAAGAUAAUGACGGUACUCAACAAGGAAGUGACGGCUAACUACGUGCCAGCAGCCGCGGUAAAACGUAGGUCACAAGCGUUGUCCGGAAUUACUGGGUGUAAAGGGAGCGCAGGCGGGAGAACAAGUUGGAAGUGAAAUCCAUGGGCUCAACCCAUGAACUGCUUUCAAACUGUUUUUCUUGAGUAGUGCAGAGGUAGGCGGAAUUCCCGGUGUAGCGGUGGAAUGCGUAGAUAUCGGGAGGAACACCAGUGGCGAAGGCGGCCUACUGGGCACCAACUGACGCUGAGGCUCGAAAGUGUGGGUAGCAAACAGGAUUAGAUACCCUGGUAGUCCACACCGUAAACGAUGAUUACUAGGUGUUGGAGGAUUGACCCCUUCAGUGCCGCAGUUAACACAAUAAGUAAUCCACCUGGGGAGUACGACCGCAAGGUUGAAACUCAAAGGAAUUGACGGGGGCCCGCACAAGCAGUGGAGUAUGUGGUUUAAUUCGACGCAACGCGAAGAACCUUACCAAGUCUUGACAUCCCUUGACGAUGCUGGAAACAGUAUUUCUCUUCGGAGCAAGGAGACAGGUGGUGCAUGGUUGUCGUCAGCUCGUGUCGUGAGAUGUUGGGUUAAGUCCCGCAACGAGCGCAACCCUUAUGGUCAGUUACUACGCAAGAGGACUCUGGCCAGACUGCCGUUGACAAAACGGAGGAAGGUGGGGAUGACGUCAAAUCAUCAUGCCCUUUAUGACUUGGGCUACACACGUACUACAAUGGCGUUAAACAAAGAGAAGCAAGACCGCGAGGCGGAGCAAAACUCAGAAACAACGUCCCAGUUCGGACUGCAGGCUGCGAACUCGCCUGCACGAAGUUCGGAAUUGCUAGUAAUCGUGGAUCAGCGUGCCACGGUGAAAUACGUUUCCCGGGCCUU
rnacentral:rRNA from 1 species